rnacentral:rRNA from 1 species
AACGAACGCUGGCGGCAGGCCUAACACAUGCAAGUCGAACGCCCGUAGCAAUACGGGAGUGGCAGACGGGUGAGUAACGCGUGGGAACGUGCCCUUCGGUUCGGAAUAACUCAGGGAAACUUGAGCUAAUACCGGAUACGUCCGUAAGGAGAAAGAUUUAUCGCCGAAGGAUCGGCCCGCGUCGGAUUAGCUAGUUGGUGAGGUAACGGCCCACCAAGGCGACGAUCCGUAGCUGGUCUGAGAGGANGAUCAGCCACACUGGGACUGAGACACGGCCCAGACUCCUACGGGAGGCAGCAGUGGGGAAUAUUGGACAAUGGGCGAAAGCCUGAUCCAGCCAUGCCGCGUGAGUGAAGAAGGCCUUAGGGUUGUAAAGCUCUUUCAGCGGGAAGAUAAUGACGUACCCGCAGAAGAAGCCCCGGCUAAACUUCGUGCCAGCCGCCGCAGUAAUACCUGAGACCG